UACGGGAGGCAGCAGUGGGGAAUAUCGCACAAUGGGCGCAAGCCUGAUGCAGCCAUGCCGCGUGUAUGAAGAAGGCCUUCGGGUUGUAAAGUACUUUCAGUCGUGAGGAAGGUGGUGUUGUUAAUAGCAGCAUCAUUUGACGUUAGCGACAGAAGAAGCACCGGCUAACUCCGUGCUAGCAGCCGCGGUAAU
rnacentral:rRNA from 1 species